rnacentral:rRNA from 1 species
UACUGGAGGAAGGUGGGGAUGACGUCAAGUCAUCAUGGCCCUUACGACCAGGGCUACACACGUGCUACAAUGGGUAUUACAGAGGGCUGCGAAGGUGCGAGCUGGAGCGAAACUCAGAAAGGUACUCUUAGUCCGGAUUGCAGUCUGCAACUCGACUGCAUGAAGUCGGAAUCGCUAGUAAUCGCAGGUCAGAAUACUGCGGUGAAUACGUUCCCGGGUCUUGUACACACCGCCCGUCACACCAUGGGAGUGGGUUGCUCCAGAAGUAGAUAGCUUAACGAAUGGGCGUUUACCACGGAGUGAUUCAUGACUGGGGUGAAGUCGUACAAGGGAUCGCAUUUCG